GGAUUGGGCUUUAAGUGGAGUGGAGUUGAGUUGAUUGUUGUUAGUUGAUUAAUCACAUUAAUGCUUACCUUGAAGAUUAUGUUGAUGCGGCGGAGUAUGGGGCAUUGUUGCAGAAUUUAGCAGAUGCAGAGAGGAGUGGAGAGGUGGAUUUGGGGUGAGGAGUUUUGGCUGCCAUGGAAAUGGGAGAGGUGGUUGAUGUUCUCAGAAGUGAACCAUCUCUAUUAUAUAAAGGAACAGCUGAGGUUAAAAUAGUAAAUUAACUUUUCGUGUCCCCAAAGAAAAAGACGGUAAUACCUUCCCCCUAAUUAAACCACUUUGAUUCCAAGCCCUAAAAUUACCCAGAACACACGUCCGUUCACUCUCAACUCCAUCGCCCUUUCUCUCUCAAUCCUUUCGAAUCUGCUCUUCAAUGGCUUCCGCCUACUCAGAAAUUCAACACAACGUGACUCAAGCUCGGUCGAUUUUUCCUUUACAGGAUACUCCGGCUGCGAAUCCAGAAAGUAGAAGUUUCCAAAACAAUAAUGAAUUGCAAAUCUGGAAUUGAAUCCUGCUGUUGCUCCAAUUGAAUUUUAGUGCGCUCCAAUUAGGGUUCUAUAAAUUUGGGUGAAAUUCCUGGGUUUGAUCGAUCUUCUUCAAUUAUCGGGAUUUUAGUUAAUUUUUAGUUUGCUGAGGUUUCUGCAAUUUGUUUUUGAGAAAAUGGGAAAGCGUGGAAAUAAUCAGAAGAAAGCUCCUCGGAAUUUGAAGAAAAUGAAGCUGAAUAAUGAAGAUGUGAAAAAAUUCAAUAGUAUGGAGGAUGAAAUUGAUGUCUGUUUGUAAGUUCUUUACAGAUAAUCAGUGAUACGGAUACCCUCCAGAAAUUAUGGUUUAUGCUUUUCUGACAUCUGAAAUGAUUGUUCCCUGCUGAUACUUUCCAGGUCGUCUACAAACCUCUGCAAGUAAUUUAAGAGCAGUGUGUUAGAGAGAGAUAGAGAGUAGAGAGGAGCAGCAAUGGAUUUCGUCAGCCCAGAUGGCCUCCGCCCAGCCGGUCAUCGUCCCUUGGAGGAGAUGAGGCAGCUUCGCGCUGAAUUGGCGCCGUCUCUAAAGCUGACAGUUGAUGGAUUGAAGGCUUUCGAGGUGUACACAGAUGGAUCGCAGAUGAUGUGGCUCUAAGGAGGGCAAAUACAGUUUGGUAGCACAGUUAGUUUUGUAGUUUGUACCCCCAACCCAAUUCUUUGACGCAAAAAAUAUAUGGAAAAGAUAAGAUUUCUCAGUACAUAAUGUUGCAAUUUAAAGUAUGUAGUUUGCUUACUUUAUUCACUUAUAUAAUAGAAAUUGUGUAUUUUUCGUUUCAAAAUUCUUUUAAGAUAAAAUAAAAGAAUUAUAAAAUUGUGUUCUUUGUUAAUAUUGAU